rnacentral:antisense_RNA from 1 species
AGCCAGCACAGCACUGGAGACUCCCGUGAGCAUGUUCACCGCUGCGAUGACCCCAAUUAACAGUUUAAUGGGGGAAAUGUACAGAGAGGAUCUGAAAGCUGUUGAAGUCACCAAAGCAUUACAAGAUGCCAAGAGAUAGUGGUCAAAAAUAGCCUAACACACGGUGCCCAUGUGCAUGCUCCACUAUCUCAAGCCACUGUCACCCUGAAUCUUCUGCAGCACUGGCUGGAAUCAGUGGUGGAUACUGCUGUUGAGGAAGUUUUGAUGCCUUUCUCACCUGGGGAAGGUGAACACUGCACUGAAUGAAGGGCUUUCAGGUCUUCCUCAAAGUCAAGCAGGAAAUCUUCAAGAUCACGUUCAUCUGCAGCACAAGAAGUCCUGGAAUGAUUAGUUCUGCCUCUCUUUUCAAGGGACCAAAUCCCAGAGUGGACAGUCCUGGGUUAUUCUGGAGACAUGAACUGUCACAAAUUCCUUGUGCUCUAGCUUUCCUGCAAGUUAUAAUAAAGUUGUCUUUGGAUGUUUGA